rnacentral:rRNA from 1 species
UACGAAGGGGGCUAGCGUUGCUCGGAAUUACUGGGCGUAAAGGGCGCGUAGGCGGACAGUUUAGUCAGAGGUGAAAGCCCAGGGCCCAACCUUGGAAUAGCCUUUGAUACUGACUGUCUUGAGUACGGGAGAGGUGUGUGGAACUCCGAGUGUAGAGGUGAAAUUCGUAGAUAUUCGGAAGAACACCAGUGGCGAAGGCGACACACUGGCCCGUUACUGACGCUGAGGCGCGAAAGCGUGGGGAGCAAACAGG